rnacentral:rRNA from 1 species
UACGUAGGGGGCAAGCGUUGUCCGGAAUUACUGGGUGUAAAGCGCGUGUAGGCGGCAGGCCAAGUCUGCGGUGAAAGCGCCCGGCUCAACUGGGCGAGGUCCGUGGAAACUGGUCAGCUGGAGGACGGUAGAGGCGAGUGGAAUUCCCGGUGUAGUGGUGAAAUGCGCAGAUAUCAGGAGGAACACCAAUUGCGAAGGCAGCUCGCUGGGACGUCACUGACGCUGAGACGCGAAAGCGUGGGGAGCAAACAGG